AGGCACGUACCGCCCCAGCUACAGCACUUUGCACCAUACAUGCAUGCCAGCGCAGGGAGGGCAAGCUACCUAGGGUCUUUGCUCGACACUUGUCCCCCAUGCACCGAGGCACCUGUGGUAUCCCCUUGAGUAUAAAAGGAGGACCAACGCCAACGGUUGGGAGCUUCUUUUUUUGGAUUGCACUCCAGUGGAGUUAGAGUUCGGGUCUUUAGCUAAAAGUAGCAAGUAGCCACUUAGCAGAAAGGGAAGAGAACACCCGGGGGCUUCCCCGGCAACCUGUAAACACCUGUUCAUUGGCUAAUAUAAAUUCAGAAGCAGGACGUAGGGUUUUACACCUAUAACAUCCCAAAUUUUCAAAACUCUCCUUAUGCAUUGCAUUGCAUAAGCAUCAUGUCACCCUUGCAUUUAAUCAUUUUCAAAACCCUAAAAUUUACCCAGAAAACCCCUUGUAAAAGUGCUUUUAUUUGAUUUUGGUCUUUGUUGUUGCUUUUGGUUAAAUUGCAUUUUAACCCAUGAGGGUUUUGGCAUAAAAAGGGGUUUAAUUCAUAUAUACAGCUACCCCAUAAUUUGAUUUUUGAAUUUGUUUUGAAAGAACAAAUUAUUUUGAUAGUUAAAAUGCCCUAAAAGCCAUUUUAUAGGCAAAUGUAUUUUAAAUAUUUUAUUUUGAGGCAAUUCUUGUCCCAAAAGUUAGAUCAUAUGAAAAUUUGAUUUUAGAAAUUUUGUUGCAAUUUAUUUGGAGUGAUUUGGAGCUUUGAAUCAAUUUUGGGGUUCAAAAACAGAAAAUAGAAAAAAAAGAAAAAGGAAAGAAGAAAAAAAAUUAGAAAACCGAGACCGGCCCGGCCAAAUGGGCCGAACCGGCCCACUUACCUGUUAACCGGCCGCGUGACCGAAUUGGACCGAACCGGCCCAACCCCGCGCGCCGAACCACCUCUAGCCUCUGACAGGUGGGGCCCACCUGUCAGGGUCUUCUUCCCCAACUGCCCAGCCUGAUUUCUCCGGCCGCGUCGCGGACGACGGCUACCCGCGUCGUGCUCGCCCACGACACCUUUCUCCGAACCUUGCGCGUCACUAUAAAGCACUCGAACGCCGUAGCCGUUUCCCCCUCUCGCCCGAUCAAAAUCUCGCCGCCAGGCUGCCGACGCCGGAAUCCCGCAGACGUCGCCGGUUAACCGGUGAGCAAUAGCUCCAAAUUAGUUGAUGCCCGUUUUUUCUUACCUCCUCGCGCACCCCGUGACGCGCGCGGAUUCUUCUCCCUCGCACUGCAGUCGCCGGAGCAUCACCGCCCGAAGCCCCCGUCGCCGCCGGUCAUGUUCCCUCGUCCUAGGUGCCGCCUCGGACGUCCCCGGAGGAAGCCGCC
rnacentral:lncRNA from 1 species